UGGGGAAUAUUGCGCAAUGGGGGAAACCCUGACGCAGCGACGCCGCGUGUGGGAUGAAGGUCUUCGGAUUGUAAACCACUGUCGCGAGGGACGAAGCUCUGACGGUACCUCGAAAGGAAGCACCGGCUAACUCUGUGCCAGCAGCCGCGGUAAUACAGAGGGUGCGAGCGUUGUCCGGAAUCACUGGGCGUAAAGGGCGCGUAGGCGGCCCGGUAAGUAGGGGGUGAAAUCUCAUGGCUCAACUGUGAGGCUGCCUUCUAGACUGCUGGGCUUGAGCACGGUAGAGGCUGGUGGAAUUCCCGGUGUAGCGGUGGAAUGCGUAGAGAUCGGGAGGAACAUCGGUGGCGAAGGCGGCCAGCUGGGCCGUUGCUGACGCUGAGGCGCGAAAGCGUGGGGAGCAAACAGGAUUAGAUACCCCAGUAGUCCCUG
rnacentral:rRNA from 1 species